AAGAAUUUCGGGCUAGGUUCAAGGUAUUCCAGUUGAUUGAAAAAGAGACUCUACUUUCAAGAUUCAAGAUUAGGUAAGUGUUCAGUGUACUAAGGUACAAGAUCGAAAAAAAAGCGCGGAUAGCAAAUUCCUUAGGCUAGAUAGAGUGGUGGUUGUAAAUUACUAGGUAGCCAUACAACACUCGGCCCAAGCAAGGCCCAAAAGCCCCAUGCCUUUUUUCUUAUAAAAGCCUCCUCAUCAACUCUCUAUCUUUCGAACCCACCUCACCGAGCUUAACGCCC
rnacentral:lncRNA from 1 species